GAUGAACGCUCGCGGCGUGCCUAAUACAUGCAAGUCGAGCGAACGGACGAGAAGCUUGCUUCUCUGAUGUUAGCGGCGGACGGGUGAGUAACACGUGGAUAACCUACCUAUAAGACUGGGAUAACUUCGGGAAACCGGAGCUAAUACCGGAUGAUAUUUUGAACCGCAUGGUUCAAAAGUGAAAGACGGUCUUGCUGUCACUUAUAGAUGGAUCCGCGCUGCAUUAGCUAGUUGGUAAGGUAACGGCUUACCAAGGCAACGAUGCAUAGCCGACCUGAGAGGGUGAUCGGCCACACUGGAACUGAGACACGGUCCAGACUCCUACGGGAGGCAGCAGUAGGGAAUCUUCCGCAAUGGGCGAAAGCCUGACGGAGCAACGCCGCGUGAGUGAUGAAGGUCUUCGGAUCGUAAAACUCUGUUAUUAGGGAAGAACAUAUGUGUAAGUAACUGUGCACAUCUUGACGGUACCUAAUCAGAAAGCCACGGCUAACUACGUG
rnacentral:rRNA from 1 species